rnacentral:lncRNA from 1 species
AAGAAAGAAAGAAGAUUGGCAACAGAUGUUAACUCAGGUGCCAAUCUUUAAAACAAACAAAAAAAUGGAUGCGCACCCCACACCCCAAGACCAAUUAAGUCAGAACCUCGGAGGGUAGGGACUCCACCAUCCCCGGGUGGCUGCAGCCAAGUUUGAGGGAACCACUGCUGGACGGCUUUCCGUUGUAAAACCUUCCUGAGGUUUCUUUUUGUCUAAGCGGCAGGUCAUCUGAUGUUCCACUAGGUGGCACCUUCCAGCAAACUUCAGUGGGUCCAGAGAGGUCUCGUCUAGGUCGAACUGUAAGGAAAGAUUUCAGAAAACAAGGCUGGGUGGUCUUUACUGGCGACGCGGGGUCUGCGCUCUUGAUGAGAAGGCUGGACUUGUUUGUUAACAACUUGCUGGCUCAGGGCUGCACAGCACACCGCUGUUUCUAGCCCCAGGGUGCUGCACUGUCCCUUGUGCUACCUUAUACCAUGUUCCUCCGUCCUCUUGUUAAACCCUCCUCACGUUUCCCAGUGUGAGACAGCCAUCCGUUUUCUGCUGAGACCCUGACUGAAUUAAGUGAAGCUUCCUGAGAACCAAGAAACAGCACCAACAUGGAGGAAAGCGCAGCUGAGAGAUCAUCCAGUUACCCGAGCCGGCCCCUGCCGGUCAUGCUUACCUCCACUCCACUCACCUCCCACAUUCAGACAAUUACCUAAUAAAGCUGAUUUUAUUGCGUCAUAAAUUUUAAAUUUAUCCUUUCCCCUCUGGCCUACUAUAUGACACAUAUUUCAGGUCUGCAAGGAGACUCCCUGAUCAGAACCCAGCUACCUCACAUGGCCAAAUUCCCUAGCUGUGGACCAGCCUCAACCCUCAUCCGUGGCCUGGCCCUUGGCCUAGCAUUUGCCUGACCCGGAUCAAAAGGAUGAGCAGAGCCACUCAGACUCUGUCUCGGAAAUUGGAAUCAAGUGGCACAGAGGGAAGAAGGCAGCUGGUGGUGAUCCCGGAAGGUGGAAGUUCAGGCGGCGUUAGGGUGGAGAUUGUUCUUGGGCCCUCACACGAGGAGAAGUUACGGGAAAGCAGAAACCGUGAGUAACCCAGGAAGUGCAACGGUCAACAGAAGACAACGGAGCAGAGGUGCAAGGAGCAGAGAUGCUGAGAGAGAAAGCUUAGAGAUGAGGUUUCCCAGUUCCAAUCCUGGUUUCUGGGAUGCCUGCCUGGAUCCCCGCUCUGGGGCUUCUCUGAGGCUUCCUGCUAUCUACCUUUUCCCCGGAGUUGGGAGUGAGUCUCUGUCCCUUAGGACCAAAGGAGCCCCUGGCCUUGAUACCGUAAUCUCAAAUCCAAG